ACAACUGUAAACCCUUUUAUUCUUUUGUCAUUUACUUGAUUGCUCAAACAGUGAGAAUAAGUAAUCAUAGGAAAAGGAAAUCUAAAAGAAUAAAUCGUAUUUCCUUUUGCACCUAUCUACAGUGUAUCUUUUUGUGGAAAGCUGCCAGGGAGUAGGGUAGUCUCACUUACUUUAUUAGACCCGGGAAGGGAGGGGCAUAUCAGACAGUAUUCUCACAUAUGCAGUUUACUUCAGGAGGCUACCGUGUAAACCUGAAGCCUACCCUUGUCGAUCUUUAGUGUCACAACACAAUAAGGUGAGGAACCACAUACAUACAUAAGUGUGUAAAGAGACUAAAAAGCUUGGAGAACAGGGACUAAGAUCCUUUCGCUAUCCGAACUGCCAGGGCAGCCGUUAUUCAUUUUCCCCUACACAACGGGCUAAAACUCCCGUUACAUAAAGGUACAUCACUAAAUUAAUGAAAUCAGUUGUUAAUACUGAUGUUUGUGCUGUUGUUUUUCCUCCAAAAUUACACAUUACAAAAGAAUUAACAUUUUUUAAUUUGAAGGACCUGUACCUUCAACAAACAAGCUUUUCUUUAAAGUUUGUAAAUAAUGUAAACUGACUCCCUGUAAUAAAUUGUCUCUGCAAUUUCAGUGUCAACCACCACUGAACAAACUACUACAACAACCAUGAAAACCACUUCAACUGUAAUGUCCACUGCUAAAACAACAACAUACAGUAAAACAGUUUCAACAUCAACCACCACUGAACAAACUACUACAACAGCCAUGAAAACUGAUAUAUGGUUUAUAGUGCCAGUUUCCAUUGGUGUUACUAUAAUCUUGUCUGGACUCAUUGGACUCAUCUGUCUGUGCUGGUUUGCAAGUA